GGGGGGGGCGGUACCUGCAGUCGAGCGGAAACGAUGGAGUGCUUGCACUCCAGGCGUCGAGCGGCGGACGGGUGAGUAACGCGUGAGAAUCUGCCCAUUAGUGGGGGAUAACCCGGGGAAACUCGGGCUAAUACCGCAUACGUCCUACGGGACAAAGCAGGGGACCUUCGGGCCUUGCGCUGAUGGAUGAGCUCGCGUCGGAUUAGCUUGUUGGUGAGGUAAAGGCUCACCAAGGCGACGAUCCGUAGCUGGUCUGAGAGGAUGAUCAGCCACACCGGGACUGAGACACGGCCCGGACUCCUACGGGAGGCAGCAGUGGGGAAUCUUGGACAAUGGGGGCAACCCUGAUCCAGCCAUGCCGCGUGUGUGAAGAAGGCCUUCGGGUUGUAAAGCACUUUCAGCAGGGAGGAAGGCUUUGGGCUAAUACCCUGGAGUACUUGACGUUACCUGCAGAAGAAGCACCGGCUAAUUUCGUGCCAGCGCCCGCGGUAAAAGG
rnacentral:rRNA from 1 species